rnacentral:rRNA from 1 species
AUUGAACGCUGGCGGCAGGCUUAACACAUGCAAGUCGAGCGAGCGGCGGACGGGUGAGUAAUGUAUGGGGAUCUGCCUGAUAGAGGGGGAUAACUACUGGAAACGGUGGCUAAUACCGCAUACCAUCGGAUGUGCCCAGAUGGGAUUAGCUAGUAGGUGGGGUAAAGGCUCACCUAGGCGACGAUCACUAGCUGGUCUGAGAGGAUGAUCAGCCACACUGGGACUGAGACACGGCCCAGACUCCUACGGGAGGCAGCAGUGGGGAAUAUUGCACAAUGGGCGCAAGCCUGAUGCAGCCAUGCCGCGUGUGUGAAGAAGGCCUUAGGGUUGUAAAGUACUUUCAGCGAGGAGGCGUUACCCGCAGAAGAAGCACCGGCUAACUCCGUGCCAGCAGCCGCGGUAAUAC